CCAGGUAGCUGGGCAGCUGUUUUGGUUGCAGUUUUGCAAGGAUUAGCAGGGCUUGGGAAGGGUCCUUGGCCACAACACUAGAAGUAGCCUGUCAAGGUACUGCAGUUUGCUGGAGAAGCAGAGUAUGAAUGCAGAGGGGGAAGGAAAGGAAACCUUGAUGAUGUCCUGAAUUUCUUCCAGAGAUGGUGCAAAGAGAGCAGCACCAGCUUGUAGGCACUUUGGGGUGGAAAUAAACUUCUCCUGGUCUCUUAGCACACAUCUUAUAGUGUGGGAUUCCCAUUCCAGAGCACGCAAGACCAUGAAACCUUCUCAGCAGGGUCAGCUGUAGCUCAGAGCACCAAUGCUCUAUCCUGCCAAAGCUCUUUCCCAUUUCUUCCUUCUGGGUCAUGGGUGCUCCUUCUCCAUGAGACCUGCCUAAGGCGCCUUAGUGAAGCUCUGCCAUUAAUCUCUGACAUCUGGUGGUGUUAAUGGCCCUGAUCUGUUAAUGCGGUAAGCUGCUAGCCUCCUUCCUACUGUUGCCCUCCACCAAGGCAACAUAGAUGGAAAAAAGUCAACAGUGUCUUGCUAGAGGAAUGAGGUCUGCAAGACUGGAAUGGUUUGGAGGUAGAGGGCAGGAGCAGAAGGCUGAGGGGUGUGGGUAGGAUGGAUGAUGCCCUAAUCGCUGGCCCACUGAUCCAUCUGCACAGGUCAGAGGAGCAGAACUAGGACAUGGCAAGAGUAAGUGGGUCACAGCAGCCUCAGGUGCCCUCAGAUAAGAGAUCCCCAUGGGAUGUCUGUGCCUUUCAGGAGUAUUUCCCCGCACAUCCCACAAAACUGCCAGUCAUGAAAUUCCUAGUCUGGGAAUUUUCCAGUCUGAGUCUCCUUUAGACAUGAGAUCUUCCAUGAGGGAAAGAGGUUUGUGUGGUGCAGUCUACACAAACUCUACUUCUCAAAGCUGUCACCUAUUUCAUGCCUUUCCUGACUACGCUCAGGAUUCUGACUCAGCUGAGCAUGGGUUUUUUUUGCAUAUAAAAAAGCACGUGCAGAUGUGAAUUUCAAUUCCAGUGUGCCAUUCCCAACUUCUAUGGUAGAAGGCAACUCUUCAGAUAGAAAGCAUCACCGAUUGUCCAUCUUCAAAAGACGUGGACUUUGCUGUCUGUGCCAGCAGCAUAUGAAAGAUCUGUUUUUUUCUCCAAAGCUUUAUAUAAAAACAUGGAUAUCUCAUGGGAGAGUUCAUUUUCACCUCCCAGUGUUUCUUUGUGAGACUUCCUGCCACAUUUUAUAGCGUCUCAUAUUCUUCUAAAGGGUAAUAUAGUUGUACAAAGGAAGCGGGUUUGAGGGAGGAGGAGGUAAAAUGAAAGUCUAUUUCAGACUGUGCACUGAUACUGUGGGAAAGGAUCAGUAGGAUUAUUAUUGGUAUAAUCACCAUCAUUUAUUGAUUUCACAUUUUUUUGUUUUGUUUUCCUUCGACCAGAGCAAACCUUCUCCUCUCCACAUUCCAGCUAAUGCAUGGUAUGACUUUGGCUUCAUGCUUGGCACCCAGAUACCUUUCACAUGCAGGAUUGCCAACAGUGGGACCAAGAGGACUUUCACUUGGACUUGACCUGGACUUCUCCCACUCUGGGGAGCUGAACAUGGAGCAGUGCACAGCCCUUGGUUCUCUCUGCAGAAACUCAGAGAUUGCUGCGAGAGGGCCAGAUGGGAGUAAUCUUUUGGGGAAAAGCAUGGAGGAAAUGCAGGUGGAUGCUUUCUUUCUGCUUUUGAAGGAGCUGUCCCUGGUGCUUGGUGGGGCCACCUCUGUGUUCCGCCACUUCUAUGGGUCCACGGGCAGCCAGAAUGAAUUGCUGUCGUGAACGUCUGAAAGGAGAUAAAGCGGCAGCAAACUCUUCUCCCCUGUUGCAGAUAAACCACUAUUAACAGCCAAGGGUUUCUGGAAUGAAAAGGGUGACUCUCCAUUGAAAGCAGUGAUAAAUCCUGGCCAUCCAGCAUAAUCCAGUCCACCGUAUCGGGAAAUCUCAUGGGAGCUGGCAGCACUGAGAGCAGCAAGGUCUUUUCAUGCUACAGUUCUCCCGUGGACAGAUAAUCUCCAUGGCCAACAACUGCAAAUGCUGGAGGUUGGAUCCUGAAUGCUAUUACCUCGGCUUUUACUCCCCUUCCCUCCUCAGCAAAAGCACUGCUGCCUUCUGCAGGAAGACAGGGUGUACCUGCAAACUUUGCCUGCAAAGGGGAUCACAGGCUGCAUUCUGUAUCCUACGUGAGCAAGAAUAUCAUACAUCAUCCUCCUGCUGAUCUGGCAGUGCAAGCAGCCCUGUAAAGCAGCGAUUUAAUGUACUUCUCAGUGCCUGAGCUUUUCGUCUUGCUAUGCUUAACCUGAUGUAUUGUUAUUUGAUGCAGAACAGUAGGGGCAGGUACAAAGAGGUAACAUGAAAAUAAAAGGUCAGUGGGUGCCUGCUGCAUGUAAAGGCUAAAUUGGUCUUUCAUCAAACCUAAUAAAUAUUCCCUGUGAGUGGGGUGGGAAACUCCUUUCCUGAAAUGCUGAAGGGUGUCCCUUCCUGCAGAGCCUCAGCCCAGGGCUGCUGGAUGAAUGCAGGAUGGGGCUGCUCGGUGCGAGGGGACCGCAGUGACAGCCAAGGGAAGAGCCAGGCUCAGCCCCCACUGCGCAUGAGGCUGCAUUUUCCAAUGUUCCUAAAAAUAUUCCUGAGCCUUCAAGUGCAAAACUGGUGGUUUGGAUUUGGAAACCAAAAUGGAAACAGAUGAGCUGCAUCCCAUCUUGUUUUCUCACCUCCUCUCUUUUCUCUCUUCACUCGUUCCAGAUUGGGGAGAGAAUGGCAAAGGACUGACCAAAAAUGAAGAAAAACAAAACAAGAAAUCAUUUUUUUCCCUUAUUUUUUUCCCCGUUUGAAAGACUAUAAUGUUUUUAUAAGCAAAGAAAUCUGGGUGUGCUAUAUUUCUUUUUUCUUAAAUGGAAUGUAACGAUUAGGAAAUGGGGUACUUUGUCUCCUGAUUCUCCUCUACCUCUCAUGGAGAAGUGAAAUCCACCCAGGCUGUGUCCAGAAGCAUUUCAUGUUAUAACCUUUGCAGGCCUGGAGGUGUGGAGGCAGCAGGCAGAGCUUCCAGGUGCCCCCACUUCUGGGAUGUCCAUUUCUGGUCAGCUCAGGCUUGGUUUGCAGAGAGGCUUUGCAGCACAGAUGUUCCAGGCUCCAAACAAUGGAUGGAGACCCUCAGGAUGCUCUGCUUGCCCAGAGGAACUCAGCAAGGUGCUGGGAUGUAACUCAGGGCCAUCCAUUGCUCUGCUGUGGUGGUGCUGCUCCAUCUGGAGAUGCUGGUGUUGAGCUUUGUGCUUGCAGGUACAUAAGUGUGUCACAACAGGGAGGUGGUGUUGAGAUGCUCCUCAUCCUCUGCCACACAUCCAGAGCCUCCACCUCCUCCCCCAUAUCUGCACCUAGAAGCUCCCUGCCCUCAGCACAAGGAGCUUCUGGCCAUGGGAACCAAGCAGCAGAGUGAGAGGAGAGAGGAACAACAUGAGACAAACUCCCCAUUAAUUCAAGAGAUCAUUAUUAGCCGCUAGAACCAGGAGGGUGAGCUGUUUUGGGGCGUCAGCAGGAGUUAAAUCCUUGCUAUUGAUUCUCUCCCUGCACGGCCAUGCAUUACCAUGAAUUACGCCACCGAGGAGAAAUGGAAGUGGACGUGAAGCAAAAGUGGGGACGGGAGGGGAAUGUUUGCAUGCUUAAAAUAUUUAUGCCGCAAAUUAACAUGUGUUUUAAGCCUGUGAUUCUUCAAAUAUUUAUCCAGCAUUAAUAUUUUG